rnacentral:rRNA from 1 species
ACUCAAAUGAAUUGACGGGGACUCGCACAAGCGGUGGAGCAUGUGGUUUAAUUCGACAGUAAACGAGGAACCUUACCAGGGCUUGAAAUCCAAACGAAAGUUUCCGGAAACGGAGACCCUCUCUCAAGGACGGUUGGACAGGUGCUGCAUGGUUGUCGUCAGCUCGUGUUUUGAAAUGUUCCCUUAAGUGGGGUAACGAGCGCAACCCCUACCUGAUGUUAUAAGUGUCAUCGGGAACUGCCCUCUUUUUGGGGGAGGAAGGCGGGGAUGACGUCAAAUCAGCAUGGCCCUCUGAUGCCCUGGGCUACACACGUGCUACAAUGGCCAAAACAAUGGGUUGCCAAGCCGUAAGGCGGAGCUAAUCCCACAAAAAUGGCCUCAGUUCAGAUUGAGGGCUGCAACUUGCCCUCAUGAAGUCGGAAUCGCUAGUAAUCGCGGAUCAGCUAUGCCGCGGUGAAUACGUUCUCGAGUCCUGUACACACCGCCCGU